UACGAAGGGUGCGAGCGUUGUUCGGAAUUACUGGGCGUAAAGGGUUCGUAGGCGGGUAUUUAAGUCAAGGGUGAAAUCCCUAGGCUCAACCUAGGACGUGCACCUGAAACUGGGUUUCUUGAAUACUUGAGAGGGUGGUGGAAUUGCUGGUGUAGGAGUGACAUCCGUAGAGAUCAGCAGGAACACCGGAGGCGAAGGCGACCACCUGGCAAGUCACUGACGCUGAGGAACGAAAGCGUGGGGAGCAAACAGG
rnacentral:rRNA from 1 species